rnacentral:sRNA from 1 species
GCUGGGCAUGGUGGUGCACGCCUGUAAUCCCAGCUACUCAGGAGGCUGAGACAGGAGAAUUGCUUGAGCCCAGGAGGCGGAGGUUGCGGUGAGCCGAGAUCGCGCCAUUGCACUCCAGCCUGGGUAACAAGAGCGAAACUCUGUUGCCCAGGCUGGAGUGCAGUGGCACAAUCAUGGCUCACUGCAGCAUCCACCUCCUGGCCUCAAGUAAUUCUCCUGCCUCA